CCUCAUACUAAGUCUUUCCCG
rnacentral:miRNA from 1 species